AAUAUAUUCCAUAUUGCAUAUUACUCAUGCAUUACAUAUUUUAUAUUAUGUGUGUAUGUAUUUGUGUGUAUAUGCUUUAGAACUCUCAGUGAGCUCAACACCAAGUAAUUUCCCUGGCAAAUGCAAAUUCUAUUCUUUAUAAUCUAGAAGACAGAAAGAACAAGGAGCUGGACUGUAUAUAUUUACGUACAUGUCUGUAUUCUUUACAAAAUUCCAGCUCCUCGAAGCAAACAUUAAUCCGGGUCUUUUGUCUCCCAGGAUAGCUAAUUCCAUGUAAAGCACAUAGUAGGAACUAACGGAAUUAAAUUUAAUUAUAAAAAUCUAUCAGUUCUUGCCAAAGGUAUUAGCUAAUGCAUGCUUGAAGACAUUAACUAACAAUUAGGAUUUUAAAAGUCAGUAUUCCCAUGAAUUUUGGCUGGGAAGACAUAUUUCCUUACUGAUGAGCAUAAGGCUUUUCAGACCAAGAAUCUGGUAUCCUGCAAUCUCUUGCCAGCGAGGGCUGGUGGGUGUGAGGAAAGAGGCUGCUGGUCUGAGUGCAGAUGUCAGCAAGUGGUUAGCAUUUGAGUGUCUCUUGCCAGGGCUCAAGACUCAGAAGGAGACGAGAGAUGACCCAAGGGCUGAAGACGCUUUUCCACUUUGGCUUCCAGUUCCUAAGCUGUCUAGCCUGUCCUCUUCUCCCGAAUGAUUUCAUGAUUCUUGUCCAUCACUCCCUUGAGAAAUUUGGUUCAAAUGGUUUCUUUGUUAAACUCUACCGUGUGCAAAGUUUACAUCUAGAGGCAAGGAUAGGAAGACUAUUAAGCAAGCAUUAUCCCAUUUGAGAACUGCGACUUAACUCAUCAGUAGUCGAGGGGAGGUGACUGGGACAUUUCCUCUGCCCUGGGCUUUUCUCUUGCUUGUUCACAGGUGAGUAUGUGCACGCACACAUUCAUGCACACGUUAGUGUUUCCACAGGUGACUGAAGCUGAGGAUUGCUUCAGACUUCCUACUUUGGUGAUGUGACUAGAUAUAGCACGAGUUAUGUCUGACUUUUGGGAGGCAAUGGCUAGGAAGGCAAUGGGCAGGGAAGGAAGCAUGAUGGUCCGACAUGGCUUGACUUUUUGUGUAAAUUUAUCUAUGAGUUAAAUGGUUGAGAAAUGGACAAUGGGGGUUGUCAAUUCUUUAGGCUUUCACCUGUUUGUAUAUUCAAUAGGUGUUGGCUAAAUAUGUAACAUGUGCUAGGAACUAGGAAGAUCACAGAAAACAGGAGAAUAAAGAUCAAACCCGUAAAGACAGAGAUUUAAUCAAAUCACCAAUACCUCCGUGUAUCUAAGACAAAGGCUAAGCAUUUAAUAUCACGAGAGAGUGUAGCAGGGGGAUUCAGCUGCUCAGGCCUCCCUUUCAUUGACUAGCUUUGCUCAUAUAAUGCUUUUUAGAAGGCUUAUAUGGCACAUGUAUAUUUCCCCUUCAUCUUGUCUUUUCUCUCCAGGUCAGCCUGUAUCCAUGGUUUAAACUGACUGGAUGGAACAUCUCGCUUUUUCUUUUUCCCUCCUGUUUUGUAUGUAUGUAUGUAUGUAUGUAUGUAUGUAUGUAUGUAUUUCACGCCAUCAGAAGUAUUUUAAUCGAGCCAUGUUUACUCAGCAUCUUGAGGAGAUGCUCAGGACUGCAUCGUAAAUGCAAUUUCUCUAGUCACGCAGCAGCCACUGUAGGAUGUUGUCAAUGGGCUGGAAAACAGGGCUGAGUGAUGGAUCAGUAAACUUGGCUUUUAUGUUGCGUGGUCCAAUUUUGAACCGUAUUAUAUUAAAAUAGAGUGCACUGGAGGUGGAAUAAUGUGAGGUAAGAACAAGAACUCAACCAGCCCUGCCAGUCACCCACAGGAGGUCUGGCAUAAGAAGGAGAUCUUCUCUGAGCCUCAGUGACUGCAUCUGUAAUAUGGGAAUUAUUGUUGCUACCAUUCUGCAGCUUUUUCUAAAGGCGUCACUAAGGCCAAGAGAGCAGUUGAAGGCUCAGAUAGUGCCUUGAUUUAGCACAAGGGUCAGUGAAUAUCUGUCUCUUUCCUUACUUCUGUAGGUCUGCCGAGCUGUGUGUCGUGGGUUCAUAUCCCACUUCUAUCAGUUACAUAGUUUCAAACACAGGCCUACUUUACUGUGGGAAGCUGAUUAAAGCGAAAAAUUCAGGAAGAAUUCCUAUUCAGAUACGGAGAAGUGAGAUGCCCGUACCUUCGUUCAUAAGACAAUUCUACAGAGGAGGGGAGGGAAGAUGAAUGUGUAUUAAAAUUAUUCAAACCGUGAGCAGGCUCCGCGACUUAGACACAGAUGAGUUAAUUGUUUUGCCUUAAACAUAUUUCCUGAAGAACAGAAGCCUCGCAACCGCACACACUGCUAUGUAUUUUAGACAAAUAGCACUCUGAAUCAAAUUAUGCUUCAUGCAUAAAAUAUUAAAAUAAGACAUUUAUAACAAAUCUUUCUAACUUAGUGCCUAGCUCCAAAACAGAUUUAUAUAUGGAUAAGCAAUAGGUGUGAUAAAUGCAGUGCAGAUACAUUAAUUUAAAUUGCAAAUCAAAAGGGCAUCGUGGUAAGGAGAAGAAUGCCGUUCUGCAGGACUGAAGAGACCCAGCUCUGCAGUACUUGUAGGGCUACUGCCUGUUUGGGUUCCAUGCGUGCCUGGGCGCUACAUCUGGGAAUUCGACUUUCUGUCUUUCUCAUAGCUUCUUACGAUCUCAGGUUAAAUUACUGAUUGGAAUUCCUAUUCAUUGUUCCUUAAGUUGGUUGCUGAAAUUUUGCUAAUGCAUACUUCCCUGAGUCUUCAAAGUUGUUUCACUUGUUUGGGAGAGUUUAGGAAAACAUCUCUAUUUUCCAGUUUGCAUAAAAGAAGGGGGAUGCCUUCCCCGUGCGUGAGUGGGCUGUUCCGCAGCAAACCUAGGCUGUGGACUGGUGCUCUUUUGCGGCUUUCGAGGCGUGUGGCGAAUGUAGCGACAAUUUCUCUUCAGAAACAAUCCCUAAUAAACAUUAUUAAGCUCGUUUGAUUUAUUUGGAAAACCUUUAGCGCUUCCAAGUAGAAUGUGUAUGGGACUGAACACUUUAGGAUUCCACAACCUGUUAGCACUGUAAGAGUCCCAGCCUGACCGGAGCCCUCGGGUAUCCCCUGCAUGAAGCUGUGUUUUGGGAUUCAUAAGAUGCACUAACCUUAGGGAAGAACAUCCUGUACUCUCACCAUCACUGGCCAUGGAAACAGGCAGCUAAGACGUUCCAGGCGGGCCCUCUGAGGACCAAAGGGCUGUCGGAGGAAAGUAGAGAGCCAGGCAAAAUGUUAAAGCAGUAUUUUCCAGAGCUGACAGCUUAAGACGUGUCUUUUAGCCCCAUUUGUGCUUAUAGCCAGUGAACUGAGACUGUCCUACUUAGCAAGCAAUAGAGCUGUUUUACUGCGAGCCUGUCUCCUACACCUCAUCUGUACUCUGGAGAGAGUCUCCUUCCUGUCAAGGAUCCCAAAGUGAGUUUUUUCAUUUUGUUAAUCCACAGAGAAUAUGUGGUAUUAAGUUUUUAAUGUGUGGGUUGCUCAUACAGUAAGUCCUCUGUCUUCCUCUUUCAUAGUCUGCUUACCGCCGCUGUUCUCUAAACUCUUUAGUAGUUGUUGAAUAAAAAGCAAGAAAGUUGUGAUGUUGUUGCUGGAGAGAUAGCUCAGUGGUCAGAGCACUGCCUGCUCUUCCGGAGGACCUGAGUUUGAUUUCCACUGCCCACAUGGUGGCUCACAACCGUUUGUGACUACAGUUCCAGGGGAUCUGAUGCCCUCUUCUGGCUUCCACAGGAAACCUGAAAAACAGGCAGAUAAAACUCCUAUACACAUUAAAAAAUAAAUAAUGCUUUCAAAAUGCCUUUUAAAACAGUAAGGGAGAAACAAAUGCCUUGUAUUUCAGAUUCUGGGUGGCAACCUUCGAUCAUAGAAUAUACCAGCCAGUCAGGAGCCAUUCUAGAAGAGAAGAAUAGGGCCUAGUUAUAUCCCAAUGAUAAGUUUUACACAGCAGAACACAACAGAACACACACACACACAGACACACACACACACACACUCUCUAACACACACAGACACAGACACACAGACACACACACUCUCACACACACACAGAUACACCCACAGACACAGACACACACAGACACAUACACACACACACUCUUUCACACACACACACACACACACACUCUUUCACACACACACACACACACACACACACACACACACACACACACACACACGCGCGCGCAUGCGCGCACGCACGCACGCACGCACGCACGCACGCACGCACGCACGCACGCGCGCGCGCCUGACAUUUACCUCCAUUUAAUCUGGUAAACAUAAAUAAUAAUUAGGAAGAAGUUAAAUACAAGCAAGUUCUGCACUGUUAGACUUGGAAAUAAGGUGUGUUGUCAUGGGUUACUAAGGGUUUAUUCUGUGAAGAGUCAAGCACAGUGUUAAAAUAGAAGCGUUGUGCUAGAUCUGUACCACCCGGCACUUCCAUUAGGUCACAUGAUCUCAGUUGAGUACAACUCUGAUUGGAGGCUUCAGUACAAAAAUAUGAAACCUCAAGAAUUUUAUCUAGAAAUAGCAUUAUUUUCGAUGUUAGAUUAAAUAGUGUGUAUUAUUAAAUCAACUUUCAGAGUCUAAUGGUUAGCAUCCUCAACUUGACAAGAUCUAGAACCACUGCAAUGUCAGUAGGCGUGUUUGUGAGGGAUUAUCUUCAGGCAGGAAGACCUACCUUCAAGGUGAGGACCAUCAUGCCAUUGGUGAGGUAACCCUUCCUUGGGUUGUUCAUGUAAGGACAUUUUGAUCACAGAAAUAGAAAAGGAGGUAUAAUGUGUUUCUUUUCACUUCCUUAAAAUGUGGCUCUUUGAAAAUUCAACAAUUGUGUGUGUCUCACACUAUGGAUCGUACCGAUGGGGGUGACCAGAUGUGAUGUAAAGAAACGCAAAACUGAUUUUGGCAUCUGAUCAAUGGCAAGUGUGCUCCAUGGCAUACCCAGAGUUCGCUGUAAAUGCCUGAGGUGACUCCUCACUGAGGACCUGCAGAUGGAUGUGAACACUUGCUCCAGAUGCGAUGCCUACAAGCAGCCAUACCAUGGAGAAGGAGUCUUAUUCUUCUGGAACUGCGAACCAAAAGAAUCCCUUCUUUCUCCAUUCAGAAAGGACCAGAAUCUCCUGUUCUAGAGGGUUGGAAGAUCUAUAUGGCUCAAGCAGGUCAAUUAGGCUACGUCUCUGAUAACGUCUGCCAUGCUCCUUCAUAGAGAUGUGAGACUUGGGGCCCUCACUUCAUCAUCUCCAGCUCAGUUCCUGUUGAGGUGAAGGGACUCCUCCAGUGAUGCAAUUGACAGGAACAAUGGUAAGCUCAAUGGCAAGGUGGACCCCAGCCGGCUGGGAUGAAUGUGUAGAAGAGCAUGUGCCAUCUCCCCUGUGAAGAUCUCAACCCCAGGUCUGAAAGCUGCUGCUCUGGCUACUGGAUUGUCAUAUAUGUUCCAAGGCAGCCAGUGUCCAAUCCCAGGGAUAGCUUCCUUCUCUAGUUGGGGAAACUGAAGGACUCUAAUUUCAAAUAGCUCUGCAAGCAUUCAGCAGUGACAGGAUCAAUUAGUGUGUUUCACCUUUUCCAUUUCACUCAACAAGCUGUUGCUUUUGUCUGUCCCUGUUUCUAAAGCAAGCCUCACUAGCAUUUCUAUCAAUGACAAUGGUUGGGCGUUUACUGUUACCCUGUGUUUUGUUCUUCUGAUGGGAUGAGGACAGAGUAACAGGUAUUGAACUGAACCUCUUUGGCAGCUUUGUAGAGGACAACUGGAGAGUAAAGGGAAAUGUAUUAAAGCCCUGCUAUCUUAUUUGUGUGGUUUGAGACUUAUGACAACCAGGUGUUAUUUAUAGUUAAUCCACGUAUUUUUUCCCGAUAUAUUUUAGUAAUCUCUACUUAAUUGGUGAGAAAACUGCACCUAUUUUACCUGAGGUUCAUAAUCUGUGUGUAUCACUGGUGGGAUUGAAUUUGAGGUCACCUAGUUUGACAGUCUCUGCCUUUAGCUACUAGGUCAUAUUUGUUAUGUUUCUACAUUUUGUUUUUGCCUACAAAAUACUUGAAGAGACUCUUACUCACAAGGCACUAUACGAGCUAAGUUCGGGAAUAUGAGGCAAUGAACCCAGUUACAUUCUACAAAGCACAGCAACACUCAAGGAGUGUGGGGGACAUGGCCAUUCUACACAAUAUACUAGUGAGGACUUCUCCCCACCCUCGUGACUCUGACUCUUCACUGGGGAAAGGGAAAGGGCUCAGCUGUUUGCAAGAUCACCAAGCCACUUCAUGUGGAGAGCGGAGUAUUUGCUCAGGUAUGCAUCCAUUGGUAGAGCUUUCAGAUGAGUUGUGUCAGGGAGAAACUGAAUUCCUGCCUACCCAACUAGCAAACAUGUGUUAAGGGAUAGUAAGAUAUAAGAUUCAUAAAUACUUGGAUACGUUAUAUUCUUACUUUUAAAUAGUUCAAGUCCCCAGAAGUUUAUACUUCAACAAAAAAAGACAACAUGCAAUGUUACAAGCACUUGUGCAUUUCAUGUUUAAUUAACAUAGGGCUAUCUUUACAGUUGUAUUGCUACAUACAAGUGCCAUAAGGAAAAAACAGGGAGGGGAAGAAAGUAGGUAAAGGUUUAUCUUCCAAUAGUUCUAGCAUAUAUCAUUUAGCGGGCUGCAGGGCUUCUCAUUCCCCAUGUCUUUAGAGUUUCACAUUGGGUGCUCUUGUUUAGCAAAAAAUGAAUCCAUUUUUUUUUUUUUUUGUGAAAUCUACAGGCAGCAUGAGCUUGGCCAAUGUACCAGCCUCCUAGGAAUACUAAAUGUACCCCAUUUUGUUUAUAGGAAAGAAGCAAAUUAAGACAGACCUCUUUUGUGCAAACAAUAAACUGAGUUUAACAAGACCAGGGGCUUGGGAAUCCAUGAUGAGGCUGCUUGCUUUUCCUGGCACCUUGUUAAACAUGGUUGAAAGUUUGCAUGCUGGGGCACAGCCUGCUUUCUCUUUGUUCCGGGGAAUGGCUGGGAAGGGCCUGGUAGACCUGGGCAGGCCAGCUGGAAUUUCAAACAUGGCCAGAAGAGAGCAGGGUGCUUGUUCCUUAGCACCCACAUCUGCUAGACCUGAGGACAAGCCCUCGGAAGUCUGAGACUUUCCAACCCUGACUCCAACAUCUAAUGAUGCUUUUUAUAGACCCUUCUUACGUCUCAAUGAAGUCCUUCAUCCUGUAGCUCAGUGCAUCUCCUUUUGUUCAGCCCUGAGUAAAGACAGAGAACAGCUGGUCAGCAUUCCCUGUAGAACAACUCUGUUGGAAACUAUUAUUAAUUCCUCAUAGCCUUCCCUCCUCCAAACCGCUACUGUGGCUGUCUUUAGUCUGCUUCCCCAUUUACCUUCUCUCUUUGGCUUCAGGUUCUUCUCCAGCUGUUUGCUUCCCGAAGCUACCUAGAAAUCUAAAUGCACUGGUGUGUGUGUGUGUGUGUGUGUGUGUGUGUGUGUGUGUGUGUGUGUGUGUGUGUGUGUAUGUGUGUGUGUGUGUGUGUGUGUGUGUGUUGGAAUUGUUACUGCAAAAUAAUGGCUGGGAUCUUGUUUUUCAAUUAGCAUGAUCUUGUUUUGGAUAGCUCAGUCUUUAUAGUAGAUGUCAUGCAUUGGCUUGAAUUACUGAAGACUUUCCCCAUCUUUAAGCAUUUUGGGUCUAGAAAGAUCUUACUUACAAGAAUAGUUUUUUAACCAGAAAUUUACAAUUAAGUCUUUUUAAAAUAUCCGAUGACAUACUGUGCCAUACUGUUUUAAAUGUGCUCAUGAAAUCAGAGAUGGAGUGCCAUUCUAUGUGUAUGUGCAUGAAGAUCUAUAUACUAACUCUGAUGGUUAGUAAUAGUUUCUUUGAAUUAACUGGUAAAAUGGACUCCAAUGUUGUUUACUAGCAAGUGAGGAAUAAGAAGGUGGAAAUGAAUGUUUCACAGUUAGCUGAGAAAAGGUAUGGCAGUACUUUUGCUGAGUUAUUGUGGGGCUAAGUAAGAGGUCCUAAAGUUAAAAUUAAAACUAAUUGUGAAAUGUAGUCUUUCCUUCUUCAGUAGGUAGCACAUCUCUAUUGAGCCAUCUAUGAGGAACAUCAUUUAUUAAUCUCUCCUUUACUUAUACACUACGUCAUUUUACCACCCUUCUUUCUUCUGAAUCCUCUAUUCUGUUGGCUGGGAAGCAGUAUUGAAAAGCACCACCAUUUGUCUGUCUUAUCCUAUGAAUUUGUCAACUUCUUGUCCCAACAGCUCAAGAGGUGGCCAGCUUGCCUUCCCCCUCCCAGGCUGCUGUCACCCUAGGUUUUAUUUGUUUAGUAAAUUCAUUGCUUAUCAGUGGCCAGUGCUGCCUAGUGUCAUCCAUAAAAUGCCACUUCUGACUCUCUUUAGCAGGUCCCCAAGUAGCUACCAUCCAAACUACUUAAUCUAAUUUUCUUUCUUUUUCAAAUAAGCUUUCCAUUUUUCAAAAAUAUUUUGUUUUACACAUUCAGAAUAUUUUUCUACCCAUUAAGAUCUGCUCUUCUCUUUCCAUCGAGCUAUGUUUUGUGGGCACAUAAUCAUUCACAAAGCUUUCUACUAUCUUGCCACUCUAUAGUGAUGUCUCUGUUAUCUAACCUCUUCCUACAAAUAAAUUCUCUUUGUUAGCCCAAAUAGUUAGUGUAUUGUACUAACUGCUUUGUGUGAGCAGUUGGUUCUCUCUCUUCUUAUGGAUGAGUUUCCUCCUAGGAAGACACUUGUCUCUUUGCCUCUUUAUUUUACUUCCUUUCCAUCUGUAUCAAUCUACCCCACAGCAGUGGUAUAUGCAGAAACCCUAAUCAAAAAAAUUCCAACCCCAUGAUCCUCCAAAUACCCAGGCUGACAGCUUUUUACUUAAAGGUAAUUCUUAAAAAAAUUCGAUUAGUCUUUACAGAUUUGGGUAGAUAGAUUAAUAUUUCAGAAGGUAUAGUUAUUGGUGACACGAGUAAAGAAAAAUGUAUUUGGAAAUCAUACAUAGUUAAUAAAUGAUUCUCUUUGGAGGAAGAAUAAAAGUGAUUUCUUUUUGACAGGGCUUAAAGUAUUAUUAAUUACAGAGAUGCUAAUAUGUUAUUGAGGAACAGCAAGAAAAUGUAUGGAAAUGGAAUUUCUCAUCUGACUUGCAUAAAAUGGUGAGGAAAUAUUCACAUUGCUCUUCUCUGGUGCAGUGAGCAUGUCAGAAAACUGCAGGCAAAAUUCUCAGCAAGAAAAAGUCUUGAUCAGUCAUUAGUACAUAAUAGUCACUAGAGUAAUCAAGAAAAAGCAGAGAGGCACCUGUUGACUACAGUGUAUCUCUCACGUUUUGAUAGGCCAUUCUUUAACUGAAGAAGGUUUUACAACUCAGGCAAGACACAGGAGGACCCCAGCCUGGCUUUCCUUGUAUUCCCUGUAUGACUGUGAUGGUGGGGCUAACUGCAAUUCACCUGAGAGACAGAGUACAGUCGUACCAUACCGUUGCAUCCCCGAGCCACAGGGUAGUGACUUAAUUGAUUUAUACUUUAGUCUUUACAGAUGGCAGCUGAGUGUCAAAGGUCUUUCUUUUGUGUAGUACUGCAAAACUGGUUGUCAAACAACCUCCACUCAUUUAAUAAUUUACCCCAUUUUGUAGAAGAAAGGCAACUGACAUGCAGUAAAUCUACUCCAUAUUUAAAUUACCACAUUGAACAAUAACGAGAAUGAAAAAUCUAGUCCAUUAUUUAAAAUUAAACAUAUAUGAAACUGUUUUGUCCAAAUUAUCACCAAAGGCUGUAGUUUAAAGAGAGAACUGAAGCCCUGAGUGGAAUAAAAAUGCCUAACGGUGCUUUGAGAGUGGCACUGGGAUUAUUUAUUCUAUUUUUUUCUAUACAUAAGGAAUUGAGCUAAAUGAACAAUGUUUAAGCAUGUCAGAAUUUCAUCAAUUUUGCAUGAGCAUUCUCAAAUAUCCUGGUGGGGGUAAUUGCUUGCAAAUACAUUUAAACUAAUGAUAUGUUAUAUCCUUACUUGAUAUAAAACUAUUAAAAGAUACA